AGCGAGACCUUACAGCCCUUGACAUGUCCAGUAUGGGUGGGGGAGACCUCACUCUUCAGUUCGGCUGGCCGGAGCACAGGUGCUGCAUGGCUGUCGUCAGCUCGUGUCGUGAGAUGUUGGGUUAAGUCCCGCAACGAGCGCAACCCCCAUCUGCAGUUGCCAGCGAGUAAGGUCGGGCACUCUGCAGAAACUGCCGGUGACAAGCCGGAGGAAGGCGGGGAUGACGUCAAGUCCUCAUGGCCCUUAUGGGCCGGGCUACACACGUGCUACAAUGGCGGUGACAGAGGGAGGCAAGGGUGCGAGCCUGCGCCAAUCUCAAAAAGCCGUCUCAGUUCGGAUUGCUCGCUGCAACUCGCGAGCAUGAAGUCGGAAUCGCUAGUAAUCGCGGAUCGGCAUGCCGCGGUGAAUACGUUCCCGGGUCUUGUACACACCG
rnacentral:rRNA from 1 species